rnacentral:rRNA from 1 species
UACCAGCACCCCGAGUGGUCGGGACGGUUAUUGGGCCUAAAGCAUCCGUAGCCGGUUCUACAAGUCUUCCGUUAAAUCCACCUGCUUAACAGAUGGGCUGCGGAAGAUACUAUAGAGCUAGGAGGCGGGGGAGGCAAGCGGUACUCGAUGGGUAGGGGUAAAAUCCGUUGAUCCAUUGAAGACCACCAGUGGCGAAGGCGGCUUGCCAGAACGCGCUCGACGGUGAGGGAUGAAAGCUGGGGGAGCAAACCGG